rnacentral:lncRNA from 1 species
UUUUUUUGUCGAAAAUUCUGGUUUUCAUUAAAUGUUAAACCGGUACAGAAUUGAUUGCGAGUAAAGCAGCUUUAGCAGCUGCAUCUGCCUUACGAUUGUUUUCUCUCUUGACAAAAUGAAAGCUAAUAUCAGCGAAACUGAGAGAGAUAAAAAGGAUGUCAUGUAGAAUCCCUUGAAGCUCCUUUGGAUGAAGCUCCCCCACGAUUGCUUCGACAAGCUGCUGCGAGUCAGAAGCUACAACAAGUUUUUUGAAUCCUCGAUUUGACGCCUGUUGGAUGGCAGAGAAGAGAGCGAUCGCCUUCGCCAUUAAAGGGGAAGAUACCUCUCUCGCCACUGCGUGAUCCUGGAUCUCAGAGUGAUUUGAGUUAUCUACAAAAAUCCAUCCCAAUCCCGCAUCAUGUGAAUCCUCUCGCCACGCUGCAUCUGUGAAACACAAGAUUGCAUCCGAUUCAAAUUCCGGCACAAUUGGUCUUGAAAGCAGAGUCUGGUGUCCCUGAGGUCCAGAUUGUCCAAAUAAUCCAGGGGAAAAGAGGGUUUGAGCCAAUUUCCACCAGUGGUAAGCAAAUCAGAUGUUUAGCCGCUUCAAAACCCAUCUGAAGAUUGGUAAAAGUGAAGGUCGAAAGGGUAUUUUUGAAUGGGGCUUGCUCCCAGAUCUGUGCAGCAAAUAGACAAAGGAAAAACAGAUGAAGACCUGAUUCCUCUGCACUACAAUGUGGGCAAGCAGUUGUAGGGUUGAUGCCUCGAGCUUUCAAGUUGGCACCUAGGGGUAAAGCAUUCUUCAAUACUUUCAAUAAGAGAAACUUAAUUUUCGGGGAGCAUUUCUUUUUCCAUAUCUCUGAGUUCCAAUUGAGGUCACAGGUUGAGGUGGAACUUGUGUAUGAAGAUUCCGCAAAGUCUUAGCUGCGUAGUAGCCUGUUUUGGUGCUAUAAUCACCAGAUUUCGUGGGAAGCCAGAUAAAUUUAUCCCUAGCAACAAACCUACUUGGUCUGAACUGAAAGAUCUCUGAUUGGUAUUGAGGGAGGAGGACCCAUUGGGGUUACGGAUGAUGAGAGAGAGAUCCAUGGUGCAUUCCAAACCAGGGUAUCAGCUCCAGAACCAAUCGAUCUUCCUAGUUGGGACUAGCAUCAAGAGCAUAGAUUUAUAAAACUAGACAUGAAUCCGAAACGGAAGUGUUUAAACAAAACAUAUUGAUCACUUCGUGGCUUUUCAAACAAAUUAAAAUUGUUACAGAAUCUUAGAUUGAUUAAUAAAAAAAGUGAGAGGAUUACCAAUACUGAAGUAGAGUCAUAAUUGUAAAGAAAUCGAUGAAGCUGUAUGUGUGAAAAAAUUAGUUCGUUCAUGCUCAAAGGUCUAAAUAAAAAAGACACAUACCUUGACACUAAUUUCCAACGAUGUAUUUUACUUGUGAGAAUAAUUUUGUUAUUUCAGCAAUACUAAAGACACAAAAGAAG